GAUGACUUUUGUGCUUGCACAGAAUGAUUAGUGGCGAACGGGUGAGUAACACGUGAGUAACCUGCCCCUGACUCUGGGAUAAGCCUGGGAAACUGGGUCUAAUACUGGAUAUGCACCGUAGACCGCAUGGUUUUUGGUGGAAAGAAUUUUGGUCAGGGAUGGACUCGCGGCCUAUCAGCUUGUUGGUGAGGUAAUGGCUCACCAAGGCGACGACGGGUAGCCGGCCUGAGAGGGUGACCGGCCACACUGGGACUGAGACACGGCCCAGACUCCUACGGGAGGCAGCAGUGGGGAAUAUUGCACAAUGGGCGAAAGCCUGAUGCAGCGACGCCGCGUGAGGGAUGACGGCCUUCGGGUUGUAAACCUCUUUCAGUAGGGAAGAAGCGAAAGUGACGGUACCUGCAGAAGAAGCGCCGGCUAACUACGUGCCAGCAGCCGCGGUAAUACGUAGGGCGCAAGCGUUAUCCGGAAUUAUUGGGCGUAAAGAGCUCGUAGGCGGUUUGUCGCGUCUGCCGUGAAAGUCCGAGGCUCAACUUCGGAUCUGCGGUGGGUACGGGCAGACUAGAGUGAUGUAGGGGAGACUGGAAUUCCUGGUGUAGCGGUGAAAUGCGCAGAUAUCAGGAGGAACACCGAUGGCGAAGGCAGGUCUCUGGGCAUCUACUGACGCUGAGGAGCGAAAGCAUGGGGAGCGAACAGGAUUAGAUACCCUGGUAGUCCAUGCCG
rnacentral:rRNA from 1 species